rnacentral:rRNA from 1 species
ACAACUUUCAACAACGGAUCUCUUGGUUCUGGCAUCGAUGAAGAACGCAG